UGGCCUGGUGAAGUUGGCAACACGCAGCAAGGCUGACUCUAACUUUUUCUUCUCUUGUAGAAAAUAAGUUUCCUGCUCAUUUGCCCUCAGGAGGUAGAAGGUGAAUCCGAUUCUCUUCAGGCAGCUCAGCUCGGACAGAGUGGAGGACUCCAGACCUUAAUGGUUCUUCAUGUGAUGGAGAAACUGUCUCUGUGCUUAUUGCAAACGAGGAAGCUGUCUCGCCUUGCAGACGUGGCCUGGAAGCUGUGUUUAGCCUGAAUCUUCUGUAUUCUGCAUCACAGAAUCUUAUCCUGCAAAAGUGGUGUAAUAAAUCCUAAGAUCAUUUUACGACCCUCCUCCACUCCGUUUAGAAGAUUUACAGCAGAAGUGGC
rnacentral:lncRNA from 1 species